rnacentral:misc_RNA from 1 species
UCUCCGUAGGUGAACCUGCGGAGGGAUCAUUACAGAGUUCAUGCCCUCCGGGUAGAUCUCCCACCCAUUGCUAUAACUACUCUCGUUGCUUUGGCGGGCCGCUGGGCCCCGCCCGGCCGCCGGCCCCGGCUGGCGCGUGCCCGCCAGAGACCUCACAAACUCUGAAUGUUAGUGUCGUCCGAGUAACUAUACAAUCGUUAAAACUUUCAACAACGGAUCUCUUGGUUCUG